rnacentral:lncRNA from 1 species
AGAGGAAACCAGAGAGGGGACAAAUCUCCCAGACCUGUGGGAGGGAAGAAAAGAGACAACCUGAGCUGGAAGUAACCCUGGGCCAAUCCUAAAACCACGUGCAGAUCCACGGAGGACUAAUGUGGAACUGAAUUUUUCUAUACUGAGCAAUGACUUGAGAUCACUGACCUAAGGUUUCUACCUCCACAAAGAGCAGUAUUUCAGCUCACUCUUCUUGGUGAUGAAUAAAUUGACUUCCAACUAUGAAUAAUCUGAAAAUAAGCAUUUUGUGGACUCUCAC